AUUAUUAUUAUCUUCAAAUAUAGUGCUAUAAGAUACACAAAUAAACCAGGCCAUAAACAAUUGUUAAUGUGCACCCCAGCUCAGUUGGAGCGGCAUCUGUGUGGUCCACGGUGUACAUCGGAUCUCCAGUCCUGUGGCUUAGACUCAAGCCCAGCUCGAUGACAAACGAACGUUCAGCAUCCAGUGCUCGGCACCGGACAUUCAACAUUCGCAUUCAACAUUCGGCAUCCAACAUUCAACAUUCAACAUCCAGCGCAUUCGACAUUUGGCAAGUGGUCAACCGCUCAACGUCGCAGUCGGUGGGCAGGAAAAUUGAAAAAUUAACAAGUAUGAAAUGUGCAAUUAAAGUGGGCUAGUCCCGUCCCGUCCCCCACAUUACCUACCCAGCUACCCACCUACCAGUGGGGUAAUUCGAGACCCUAGAUCUCCUCCUCAAACUCCCUCGGAAGUCUAGGAAAGUGAGGAUGACAACGACUGGGACAACGAUGUCUACACCUGAGCUGCAGGAACCAGGAGCAAGAGGCGAAUUAUUAAUCUACUUUUAAUUGCAGCCACCCGGAGGAGCUUCUUAGCAGAAGGAACUAGGUACUUGUUGUGGCACUUAGCUCCACCCCGAGAUCAGGCACCAUUGAUUAAUGUGCGCCAAUUGUGAAAU
ensembl:ncRNA lncRNA:CR43682 long non-coding RNA:CR43682